rnacentral:tRNA from 1 species
GGUUCCAUAAUUCAGUGGUAGAAUGCCUGCUUUACAAGGUCUGAAUACGCAGUAUGUCGUGGGUUCGAUCCCCACUGGGAUCA